GAAUAGUUUAGUUUAGAAUUCUGGCUUUGGGAGUCAGGGGCGGGGGUUAAAGUCCCCCUUCUUUGA
rnacentral:tRNA from 1 species